AGCCCACUAGCUAGCUCACACCCUAAAGCACAACAACCCCUUAUUAAUAAACCCCCAUUACCUAGUAAUAAACCAAACAAACCAUUUUUCCUCCCAAGUAUGGGCGACAGAAAAGGACUACACCGAAGCGAUAGUAACAGUACCGCAAGGGAACGCUGAAAGAGAAAUGAAACAAAGCAGUAAAGCAUAGAAAAGCAGAGCUUAGCCCUCGUACCUUUUGCAUCAUGAUUUAGCAAGAAAUCAUCAAGCAAAGAGCAUUUUAGUUUGAUACCCCGAAACCAAGUGAGCUACUCCAAGACAGCCAGUAGGGCGAACCCGUCUCUGUGGCAAAAGAGUGGGAAGAGCUUUGAGUAGAGGUGACAGACCUACCGAACUUGGUUAUAGCUGGUUAUCCAGGAAGUGAAUAGGAGUUCAGCCUUUUGUCCUCUACCCCCACACCUGGCCACGCCCUCAAGCGUCCAAGAGGACAAAAGAGUUAGUCAAAGGGGGUACAGCCCCUUUGAAAAAGAUACAACUUUCCCAGAAGGGUUAAGAUCAUAACUCCAACCAAGGAAACGUGUUCUAGUUGGCCUAAAAGCAGCCACCCACACAGAAAGCGUUAAAGCUCAUACACCUUCCCCCCCCCCCCCCUUUUCAUACCCCUUAUGAAAGAGAUCAUGCUAAUAUGAGUAAUAAGAGGCCCUGACCCUCUCCAAGCACAAGUAUACAUCGGAACGAACCAACACCGACAAUUAACGGCCCCAAAAGAAGAGGACACUGGAAUAUAAUGGCCAGGCCACAAGAAAAACAUCCACCCCUCCCCCGUUAACCUUACACCAGAGUGCAAACAAGGAAAGACUAAAAGAGAAAGAAGGAACUCGGCAAACACCCCUAGCCUCGCCUGUUUACCAAAAACAUCGCCUCUUGCAAUUUAAGAAUAAGAGGUCCCGCCUGCCCUGUGACUAUUGUUUAACGGCCGCGGUACUCUGACCGUGCGAAGGUAGCGCAAUCACUUGUCUUUUAAAUGGAGACCUGUAUGAAUGGCAUAACGAGGGCUAAACUGUCUCCUCUCUCAAGUCAAUGAAAUUGAUCCCCCCGUGCAGAAGCGGGGAUAACUACAUAAGACGAGAAGACCCUGUGGAGCUUUAGACAUAAAGUAGAGCAUGUUAAGCACCCCUAGAUAAAGGCCUGAACUUAGUGCCUGCUACCUAAUUGUCUUUGGUUGGGGCGACCGCGGAGUAAAGUAAAACCCCCGUGUAGAAUAAGGGCAACCCCCUUUAAACCCAGAGCGCCAGCUCCAAAGAACAGAAAUUCUGACUUACUAUGACCCGGCAAAGCCGAUCAACGGACCGAGUUACCCCAGGGAUAACAGCGCAAUCCUCUUCUAGAGCCCAUAUCGACAAGAGGGUUUACGACCUCGAUGUUGGAUCAGGACAUCCUAAUGGCGCAGCCGCUAUUAAGGGUUCGUUUGUUCAACGAUUAAAGUCCUACGUGAUCUGAGUUCAGACCGGAGUAAUCCAGGUCAGUUUCUAUCUAUGAUAUGAUUUUUUCUAGUACGAAAGGACCGAGAAAAAGAGGUCCAUGUCAAGGACACACCUCCCCCUCACCUGAUGACAACAACUAAAUUAGGUAAGAGAGCAUAACCCCUAUGUCUAAGAGAAAGACU
rnacentral:rRNA from 1 species